GUGUAAAACACAUAAAACUUCUUUUUUGGUGCUCACAGAGCCCCACCACCAAUAAGGGGCUCCCCUUCUUCAAUAGAUGGAGAAAGGGGGAAAACAUGGUGAAAAGAGAAAGAGCUCUGUCUCUCGGAGCACUGAUGAUUAAUUGAGAAAU
ensembl:ncRNA Y54F10AM.12 ncRNA